UUGCUUACCAAUUUUUAUUAUAUUCUAAUGGCAUUUUGUUUUCCAAUCCUUUCUUCUACACUCUUCUACGCUCUUCUUUGCUUACAAUUAACAAUGCCGAUGCUCUACUCAGCAAAGUACAAACUUUGAGUUCAUUCUUAACUGGGUAUUUUAAUUGCAGUGUAUUCAAGAACCGAAUCCUAUAUGACUAUAUCUAUAGUUUUUAUGGGAUUAUAAUAACGAUUAGGGAGGCAUGGCUCAAGCUCUCUCUGUCAAACAACAAUGGGGAACAAAAGCAACAAAUUUGUGUUAAGCUCCGGGUCACUACCAUUGUUGUCGAUAGAUUGACGUUGGGCAUCCAUCUCUGAACCUCAUUUGAUACCAAAAAUCAAAUUAUUUUUCCUCCUCAAGGUUCCAGUCUCAGGAGCUUAUCAACGAAAAAAAAAUAAAAAUCUUGCACCCGCCACUUUCAUAAACCCUGAAGGUACAUUGGUUGAAGCUUUUUUAUUACAAGCUUCCCAGUACAAGCAAAUUUGCUAUUUUUGACAUUAUGUAGGCAUGGCUGACUGCUGAUGAGUCAAAUGGUCGUGACUCGUGAGUGAUCCUAGCAUUUUUUGGCUCAUCUUCAUGAGGUAUUUCAAAACGUAACGUCUCCCUGUUAUGUAUUUCUGGGAUAGCAAAGGUUGGCUACUAAGCUAGGGCAUUGAGUGAAGGUUGUACAAUUACAAACACUUGAGGCAUCAAUGGAUUUAUGAAACAGAAUUUUAUUG